GAAAUGCGAUAAGUAAUGUGAAUUGCAGAAUUCAGUGAAUCAUCGAAUCUUUGAACGCACCUUGCGCUCCUUGGUAUUCCUUGGAGCAUGCCUGUUUGAGUAUCAUGAAAUCUUCAAAGUAAAUCUUUUGUUAACUCAAAUGGUUUCUACUUUGGUAUUGGAGGUCUUUGCAGCUUCACACCUGCUCCUCUUCGUUCAUUAGCUGGAUCUCAGUGUUAUGCUUGGUUCCACUCGGCGUGAUAAGUUAUCUAUCGCUGAGGACACUGUAAAAGGUGGCCAAGGUAAAUGCAGAUGAACCGCUUCUAAUAGUCCAUUGACUUGGACAAUACUUUUAUGAUCUGAUCUCAAAUCAGGUAGGACUACCCGCUGAACUUAAGC
rnacentral:misc_RNA from 1 species